rnacentral:rRNA from 1 species
GAUGAACGCUGGCGGCGUGCCUAAUACAUGCAAGUCGAGCGAACGGACGAGAAGCUUGCUUCUCUGAUGUUAGCGGCGGACGGGUGAGUAACACGUGGAUAACCUACCUAUAAGACUGGGAUAACUUCGGGAAACCGUAGCUAAUACCGGAUAAUAUUUUGAACCGCAUGGUUCAAAAGUGAAAGACGGUCUUGCUGUCACUUAUAGAUGGAUCCGCGCUGCAUUAGCUAGUUGGUAAGGUAACGGCUUACCAAGGCAACGAUGCAUAGCCGACCUGAGAGGGUGAUCGGCCACACUGGAACUGAGACACGGUCCAGACUCCUACGGGAGGCAGCAGUAGGGAAUCUUCCGCAAUGGGCGAAAGCCUGACGGAGCAACGCCGCGUGAGUGAUGAAGGUCUUCGGGUCGUAAAACUCUGUUAUUAGGGAAGAACAUAUGUGUAAGUAACUGUGCACAUCUUGACGGUACCUAAUCAGAAAGCCACGGCUAACUACGU